GACGAACGCUGGCGGCGUGCUUAACACAUGCAAGUCGAACGGAAAGGCCCUGCUUUUGUGGGGUGCUCGAGUGGCGAACGGGGGAGUAACACGUGAGUAACCUGCCCUUGACUUUGGGAUAACUUCAGGAAACUGGGGCUAAUACCGGAUAGGAGCUCCUGCUGCAUGGUGGGGGUUGGAAAGUUUCGGCGGUUGGGGCUGGACUCGCGGCUUAUCAGCUUGUUGGUGGAGUAGUGGCUUACCAAGGCUUUGACGGGUAGCCGGCCUGAGAGGGUGACCGGCCACAUUGGGCCUGAGAUACGCACCAGACUCCUACGGGAGGCAGCAGUGGGGAAUAUUGCACAAUGGGCGGAAGCCUGAUGCAGCAACGCCGCGUGCGGGAUGACGGCCUUCGGGUUGUAAACCGCUUUCGCCUGUGACGAAGCGUGAGUGACGGUAAUGGGUAAAGAAGCACCGGCUAACUACGUG
rnacentral:rRNA from 1 species